AUGUCUUCUUUCACCGCAUUAGGGACAGUGUCACCAUUCAACUCCAGCUCCUUUAAUGCAGGAAGUUUGUCGAUUCCAGACAGAGAAUCAAUUUUGGUGAAUGACCAGAUGAUCCUCUCGAGCUUACUAGCAGCCCCAUUAUCAAAUCUGAUUUCAGUUAUGCUGGUUCCCUCAACAUGGAAGUUCUUAAGAUUUUUGAAUUUACCCUUGUUGAAGACAAGCUUACUAUCAGUGUAUGCAUUGUGUCGAAGCUUGAGACACAGUAAGUUCUCAAGCUCGGCAAGGACCUUCAGAUCUUCCUGGCUCAGCAAAGUGCCAGUUAGAGUUACCUUGGCAAGUUGCUUUCCAUUUUCGGAAAAUAUCUUAAGAAGCUGCCCCUUUUGUGCGCCAGUGCUUUCAUUGAUACUUAGUCUCUCAAGAACAUUGGGGCAGUCUUCUUUCAGACAGAGAGCUGCUGGAGUGCCCUUGUGUCUAGGUAUGUCUAGAGUAAUUGACAGAAAACGGAGGGACUGGGUUAGGAGGUCACUGAUUGCUUCAAGCAACGGCUGGAGGUCACUCUCCUUGUUGAUAGCCACACCGAGCUUCUUGAGCUGA
rnacentral:rRNA from 1 species